GCUCGGCUCAGAUUUAAGUUUUACUACGCCUUCAUGUUAAAAUACACAAAAAGACAUGAAUUCAAAUAAAAUGAAAUAAAAACUCACUUCAAAUUGAGCUUCUCAGCCAUCAGACAAAAGAGGCCAUGUGGCACCCACAAAAGCUUUAAAAACUUCCUACCACUUUGCAACAAGAAGGGGGUUUAUAAUCAGACUGCCUAAAUGAAUCUCUUAAUUAUGAGCGACAUCAAUCCUUUCAUUAAAGCAGUAAGUUUACAGUAAGUCUACAACAUGCUCAUAAAGCAAGAGUUCGUCUUACUUCAGCUGGUUUUGAACUCAAUAGAAAAAGAAAAACCGUUGCAUUUUUUUUCAUCUUAAAGUCCGAUUUAGUCCAGAUUACCUGUUGUGCCCGCCUUUUUCUUUGCAGGUAAAAAAGAAGAAGCUAUUUAUGAAGAAAUACCGGAUGCAUUGUUUCAGCCAAAAAAUGACAGAUUAAACCAAAAUGAUCCCACGUAUUCCACCAUCUCUGAGCUUCCUCUGAUGGAGAAGCCAACUGACACAAUUCUACCUAAUGAGUCCCCUUACUCCUGCAUCGGAGACACGUUAGGUAGAGAUUACACAGAUUUGACGCAGUCGAAUGAAAGCCCAUAUUUUUUACUGAAGAAACCUGAAACACCCGAGAACAACAACGACGUGACGUCUGCAGUUUGAGCGGAAAAUUCUUCAGUUGUCGAUAAAACCUGCUUCGUCAAGAAGAAGCCUUGUUUCCACUUGAGACUGUAAAUAAUAAAGUUUGAAGCCUGAGUGACCCGUCUGUUCCUGCAGGGGACACUGAAGUCCCAUUGAUGG